rnacentral:rRNA from 1 species
GUGCCAGCCGCUGCGGUAAUACCGGCAGCCCAAGUGAUGGCCACUCUUAUUGGGCCUAAAGCGUCCGUAGCCGGCCUCGCAAGUCCGUCGGGAAAUCCAGUAGCUCAACUACUGGGCGUCCGGCGGAAACUACAAGGCUUGGGACCGGAAGGCUCGAGGGGUACGUCCGGGGUAGGAGUGAAAUCCUGUAAUCCCGUCCGGACCACCGAUGGCGAAAGCACUUCGAGAAAACGGAUCCGACAGUGAGGGACGAAAGCUAAGAUCGCGAACCGGAUUAGAUACCCCGGUAGUCC